ensembl:lncRNA
UCAGCACAAAUAUAAAAGCGGUCAGAGGGAGCCCAUUUGCUUAGGGGCAGGUGAGGAAGCUGCUGCUAACGGCACUAUUAUUUUAGGACCAAAAUUCAACCUCAUAUUUGGAGCACAUAAUGGGAUGACCCAACUUGGCAUCCAACUGAGGGGUUUGGGACCUCUCCCUGCCCCACUGGACCCCGUAAACCUGAUAGGUGGGCAACGGACCUCACUGACCCAUUCUACUCCAUAGAGCCCAAUCCCUCCUGUAAGAAGGGGACCCAUACGGCAAGGACUUCUCUCACCCCACAUCCCACUAAAAGGGGGCAACAGACCACCAUACCCAAGAUCCAUCCUGCACCACAGACCCCAUCACCCCAUCCCAAAUGGACAGAGGAUCCAGGGAUCCAGCACUCCCCAUGCCAGAGCCAUGGAACUGAGCCUCCUCCAAAGGUUCUGCGUUCUGUAGCAGCCAAGAGAAUGGCUCCAGCCAAUGGGACGUAGGUGGGUCCCAUCCCUUCCAAGCAGACACCAAUCUGCAAAGAGGUCCUGCAGACACAGAACCCAAGGCCCUGCCACCAGCACCAGUCCUGCAGCCAAGGACUGGCACGCACCACCAGUGCCCUCCUUUCACACCUGUCCCACAGCACCACCUGGGCCCCCACACCCUGGACUACCAGCCCGAGAGCUCUGCAGUUGCUUUUGAUGCAGUAUUACCUGUGCCCACCUUUCUUCCUGGUCGCCUCGCACAGUGAACCACACGAGGUGUAAGGUUGGGUGGACUGCAUUCAUCACUUGGAGGCAUCUCAGCCUCCUCACCAGCACUGAGGUCGGUGGAGCUGCGGUGGAGCUGUGAGCCCUUCGGUGGGGCAGGAGCGUCCUCUGCUGCCAGGAUUCUCCAGCUUCAGUUCGUCACCAGAUGCAAGGCUAUGCCACGGGGCUGCAGCGAGCCUGCAGCUCAGAAAAGCCCCGAGCACUGCAGAGACAAGCAGGCAGUCUGUGAUGCCUUCAGAGCGUUAUUCACCAAGUUACAAACACCUGCAAAAGCAAACAAGAACCACACUCUGCAGUGAUAAGAAUGCACAGCUUCGCAGACAGGAGCGUAGGGCUUAGGAGAAAGCUCUAUUUCAGAGGUUGGUAGGGAAUUUCACAUCACACAAAGGCACCAACCAAAAGCAGAGUUUCUAACAGCAGUGUUGUCCAGGAGUCCCAGCAGAUGGUGCUGGCACAUUUGGUAUGUGACCCCAUAACAAAGGCAGCUGAGGAUGAGGCAUCAGGCAGUGCUGACGACACGCUUUAUGGACAGGUCAUGCUUUAAUAGGUGCCGUUCCAAUGGCAGCAAUUAAUUGAGAGCAAAGGCUUGACACACAAACCUGAUGAUUUACACUCCCACCAGUCAAGGCAGACAGACCAAGACUAUGAGGCUGACCUGUAACCAGGCUUGGGACGCAGCCUUGAGAAAGGGGGAAUGCUGACAGCGAAUGGGAGCUGACUGCCUAGAAGGGCUACAAAUAUUCUUGGGAACAAGUUGGCUGGGCUGGUUAGCAGGGCUUUAAACUAGAGAUGAUGGGGGAAGGGGAUGUACUGGGUGACAGAGAAGACCACAGGAAUGCUUUCACCUUGGGAGGUGGUAAGGGAAAACCCCAGUCUUGCCCUGGAGGUAUUAGGGAGGGCUCCUCUGAUAAGGCAAUGAGGCCAAUAGCCAAGCUGAAGUGCCUCUAUACCAAUGCACACAGCAUGGGAGAUAAACAGGAGGAGCUAGAAGCCGUGGUGCAAUUGGGAAAGUAUGAUCUAAUUGCUAUCAUGGAAACAUGGUGGGAUGAAUCCCACAAUUGGAAUCUCCUGAUUGAGGACUACGUUGUAGUAGGCGUCUUGCGGGGGCACGGGAUGUACGGGACAGGCCUCUCCCUAAGCAUAGAGAGACAGUGCUAUCGUGCUGACCUUGAUGCAGAGAAAACAGGAGAAGAAGAAGGAUGAGAAAAGAAUGUGGAGACAGCCAAAUAGGGCACGGUGUUGUCUGGCAUGAACCAAUCAGAGUGGGACAUGACAGCACGGUUUUGUAGGUAAAAAU